rnacentral:lncRNA from 1 species
UUAUUUUUAUUCAACUGAUGUGACUGCAAGAAAAUCACUUAGCAGUAGAUAUGUCACAAGGUAGGACGCAAAAUUUGACCAAACCAACCAAUUUUUUAAUUCAUUUACAACCACAUGUUUGAUGUUUACAUUUUCUAUAUGUGAAUUCUUAAUUUCUUUGGGUUUUGUUGGCUAAUCAUGCCACAAAGUACAAAAUUUAACUAUUUGGUUAGUCACAUAUAUUGUAUAAUAGAUAUACAAUAAAUUACUAGUGUGUUGAGAGCAUUUAU